UACACCUGCAUGCGUGUAUGUACGUAGUAAAGUCGAUAAUAUUGUAAUACGCCGCCGAUAAUUUUAAUGUUAAAAUAUGCAUAACCCGAAACGAAUUGCGGAGUAUGGAGUAUUUCAAUGUGCUUACAUUGAUGUACAAGUGACACUUCCGCCGGGCCCAACAACGGCUGAGACUCACGAUUGAUGCCAGGCGAGUCCAACACUGAGCUGAACACCACCUCUGGUAUCAAAUGGUCCUCCUCGGAAGAGCCUUCCUCUUCAUUUGACAAGGCACUGUGCACCUGACAGUCGACGGCGGUUGCGUUUACCAGAAUAGGCACUGUUUCAGUCUCGGUCCCGCUCAUCACAAAUCGACGACGCCGCGCUCAUUUAACAAAAUCUUUUUUACUGUCUUCUUGGUCUUCACAACUGAAACAAUUCAAUUUUAGUUUAUAUAAAUUUUGAAGGUAUUUGGUUAAUGAUUAUAGGAGAAUAUAAUGUAGCAAUAUGUUACCAAUUUAAAUAAAUGAUCUCGCAGCGUUA